AGAGUUUGAUCCUGGCUCAGGAUCAACGCUGGCGGCGUGCCUAAUGCAUGCAAGUCGCACGGACGGCCUUCGGGUCGUCAGUGGCGAACGGCUGAGGAACACGUGCGUACCUGCCGUCUCGUGGGGAAUACCGGGUGGAAACACCCGCUAAUACCGCGUACGCUCGCUCCGUUGGGAGUGAGGAAAGCUUUCGAGCGCGGGACGAGGGGCGCGCGGCCCAUCAGGUUGAUGGCGGGGUAACGGCCCACCAUGCCGAUGACGGGUCGCUGGUCUGAGAGGACGGCCAGCCAGACUGGGACUGCGACACGGCCCAGACACCUACGGGUGGCAGCAGCAAGGAAUCUUCCGCAAUGGGCGCAAGCCUGACGGAGCAACGCCGCGUGGAGGACGACGGCCUUCGGGUUGUAAACUCCUUUUCUCAGGGAAGAAACGGACGGUACCUGGGGAAUCAGCCCCGGCUAACUCUGUGCCAGCAGCCGCGGUAAGACAGAGGGGGCAAGCGUUGUCCGGAUUUACUGGGCGUACAGCGCGCGCAGGCGGUUGCGUAUGUGACUGGUGACAGCCUCCCGCUCAACGGGAGAAGGCCCGGUUACACAGCGCAACUGGAGGCAGGGAGAGGGAUGUGGAAUACCCGGUGGAGCGGUGAAAUGCGUAGAGAUCGGGUGGAACACCAGUGGCGAAGGCGGCAUCCUGGCCCUGACCUGACGCUGAGGCGCGAGAGCGUGGGGAGCAAACGGGAUUAGAUACCCCCGUAGUCC
rnacentral:rRNA from 1 species